GAUGAACGCUGGCGGCGUGCCUAAUACAUGCAAGUCGAGCGAACAGACGAGGAGCUUGCUCCUCUGACGUUAGCGGCGGUCGGGUGAGUAACACGUGGAUAACCUACCUAUAAGACUGGGAUAACUUCGGGAAACCGGAGCUAAUACCGGAUAAUAUAUUGAACCGCAUGGUUCAAUAGUGAAAGACGGUUUUGCUGUCACUUAUAGAUGGAUCCGCGCCGCAUUAGCUAGUUGGUAAGGUAACGGCUUACCAAGGCGACGAUGCGUAGCCGACCUGAGAGGGUGAUCGGCCACACUGGAACUGAGACACGGUCCAGACUCCUACGGGAGGCAGCAGUAGGGAAUCUUCCGCAAUGGGCGAAAGCCUGACGGAGCAACGCCGCGUGAGUGAUGAAGGUCUUCGGAUCGUAAAACUCUGUUAUUAGGGAAGAACAAAUGUGUAAGUAACUUUGCACGUCUUGACGGUACCUAAUCAGAAAGCCACGGCUAACUACGUG
rnacentral:rRNA from 1 species